UACGUAGGUGGCAAGCGUUGUUCGGAAUUAUUGGGCGUAAAGGGCGCGUAGGCGGUUUGUUAAGUCGGCUGUGAAAGCCCGGGGCUCAACCCCGGAGGGUCAGCCGAUACUGGCAGGCUAGAGUACAGAAGAGGUAACUGGAAUUCCCGGUGUAGCGGUGAAAUGCGUAGAUAUGCGGAGGAACACCGAUGGCGAAGGCAAUCCCCCGGGCCUGCACUGACGCUCAUGCACGAAAGCGUGGGGAGCAAACAGG
rnacentral:rRNA from 1 species